rnacentral:antisense_RNA from 1 species
UCCCUCGUUUUCCUUCUUUUUUCCCCUUCCAUGUCAUUAUGGAGAAGGGCACUGGAGGCUUACUGAAGAGCUUUGAGAAAUAGCAGUGAAGGCCCAGAGCAUUCCUUGUUUCCAGAUGAUCAAGCUAAGGCUUUAUCCUGGCUAUGAAUAGCCCAGCCUCCUGGGGUGCCAAGCCUGGAGAGAUUCUGUCUCAUUCACUCCUGGUAGACUGGUUAACCCGGCUACAGGCUCCUUUUGCCUUCAG